rnacentral:lncRNA from 1 species
GGGAGUACAAGGUCAAGGACCUGUCUCAGGCGGACUUCGGCCGCCUCGAGAUCGAGCUGGCGGAGGUCGAGAUGCCCGGGCUCAUGGCCUGCCGCACCGAGUUCGGCCCGUCCCAGCCCUUCGCCGGCGCCAGGAUCUCGGGCUCCCUCCACAUGACCAUCCAGACCGCCGUCCUCAUCGAGACCCUCACCGCGCUCGGCGCCGAGGUCCGCUGGUGCUCCUGCAACAUCUUCUCCACGCAGGACCACGCCGCUGCCGCCAUCGCGCGGGACUCCGCCGCGGUCUUCGCCUGGAAGGGGGAGACGCUCGAGGAGUACUGGUGGUGCACCGAGCGCUGCCUCGACUGGGGCGAGGGCGGCGGCCCCGACCUCAUCGUCGACGACGGUGGUGACGCCACCCUCCUCAUCCACGAGGGCGUCAAGGCCGAGGAGGAGUAUGAGAAGUCCGGCAAGAUCCCCGACCCGGAGUCCACCGACAACGCCGAGUUCAAGAUCGUGCUCACCAUCAUCCGCGACGGGCUCAAGUCUGACCCCAAGAAGUACCGCAAGAUGAAGGAGAGGCUCGUCGGCGUCUCGGAGGAGACCACCACCGGAGUCAAGAGGCUCUACCAGAUGCAGGAGACCGGCACCCUACUCUUCCCCGCCAUCAACGUCAACGACUCCGUUACCAAGAGCAAGGUGCGUGACUUCCUUUGCUUGUCCUAGCGUGGAUCUAGAUCCUUGGUUACCCUUCUUGUGGAUAAAUGAUGGAUGCAUACAGCCUACUCUGCAGGGUAGCUCUCUAGAAGUGGUUGUUACUUGUUAGCUUGUUUAACUGGCAUUAUGUUGGAUAUUGAUCUGUGGUUUAGAUCUCUGGGCAGAUCUGUUAAUCGAGAUUGAUAAUGUCAUGGUUUUUCCCUGGUUAUCUGUGCCGCUCAGUUUCUCUGAUAGUUGUGGUUCGGUUAUCGAGUGGCUCCUAAAUUACAGGAAUUAUGGUCCAUGUUGACUUACUAAUAGUUUAUUGAUAACUUGCUGAUAGUAGGCGCAUGUUUGGUGGAUGUGACGACACUAUGACAUCAUAACACAUCUGUACCCUGUUUGCUUAGUCUGCAAGUAGAAGCAUCAUUCAUUUUGUAUUAAUAUACAUGUUUAGUUUAAGGUAUUGCACUGUAUGGCGGGUCUUAACUUAAAAGUGUACGCAGUGCGUUUCCUAGAUUCUUUAAUGUAUUCUUUCUGAGAUGUCUCUAGUAUCUGUAAGCAACUCCCUCCAUAUCUGUAUCCAUUAGUCUUUGCAGCUACAAAUAUGUUUUCUUUUAAACAGUCUGGCAUGUUACUAGCAAUGUAGUAAAGUAAUGCAACUGACAAGUUAAACAGUACUGAUGUGUUUCUACCUCUGAACAGUUUGACAACCUGUAUGGUUGCCGCCACUCCCUCCCUGAUGGUUUGAUGAGAGCCACCGAUGUUAUGAUCGCUGGCAAGGUUGCAGUUGUCUGCGGUUAUGGUGAUGUUGGCAAGGGCUGUGCUGCUGCCCUCAAGCAGGCUGGUGCCCGUGUCAUCGUGACUGAGAUCGACCCCAUCUGUGCCCUUCAGGCCCUGAUGGAGGGUCUUCAGGUCCUUAC